UCUCCGUAGGUGAACCUGCGGAGGGAUCAUUACAGAGUUCGUGCCCUCGCGGGUAGCUCUCCCACCCUGUGUUAUUGCUACCUUUGUUGCCUUGUCGGGCGGCCCUCGGCUACCGACCCCGGCUGGUACGCGCCCGCCAGAGGACCCUAUACCAUGAACGUCAGUGUCGUCUGAGUACUAUACAAUAGUUAAAACUUUCAACAACGGAUUUCUUGGUUCUG
rnacentral:misc_RNA from 1 species